AACGGUUGGUCUGUUGGAUUUUACUUGGACACGGUUGGAGCAAAACUUUAACCCCGAUCGGCAGUGAAGUCCUUUCAGCGUGGCAGCAGGAAAGGAAAGGAUGAAAAGCGCAACAAAGUAAUCCGUUGGCAAAACAAAGUUCACAUUGGAAGGAGGCGGUUUUGACAGGGUUGUGAGUGGGUCCGUGCUUGCCGAGCCGUUGACGUUGAGCUGUCAUUACCGAUUUCUUUUGAUUUAUAGCGGUGCAAGGAGGUGGAAAACAAAACAAAAAAAAAAAAGGUCUCAGAGCGGCAAAGCGAGAAGUAGGUCAGAUGGAAGGGAAAAGUCAGCAUGUUUCUGUUUUCAUCUGUUUCAGUUCCGGAAGGGCGCAUCUACAGGUGAGGCGACAUCUGACGUAAUACAGACACAUUUUAAAGCUCAUCCUCACACCUGGCAGGAAGACAACGCUUCCGAUGCGCUGUCUCGGUCCCAAGAUAAAUUAACGUUGAAUUUUGAUGCAGCAGCAGCAGCAGCCGACUUGGAUGACUCUAGCGCAGAUGUGGAACUUUAAUGCUGCUGCAGAGAGCGUUUACCGCAGCCGGAAGUUGCUCCCCCCCACUCAAACGACGCAGGUAUCGGUUUACCUUGUUCGCGUGCUUGUAAUCUCAGCGGAGCAAUGAAUUGAAAUUUGCACAAUAGCUCAUCGGUAGUGCACCGUACCAUCGUGUUGCGUGCUGCAUUUUCGACCUCACAGGUGGAAGCAAUCCACUCCGCGCCCUCCUGGCACCGGGGCAGCGAA